GAAAAGAACUUUGAAAAGAGAGUUAAACAGUACGUGAAAUUGUUGAAAGGGAAACGAUUGAAGCCAGUCGUACCGACGGAAAAUCAACUUCUCGGGUGCUUAUCAUGGGUGACGUUGAGCCUCACGGUCUUCGUUGCUUGUGUUUGUUGGUACCUUUGGGGUGUACUUUUUCGUAUGGUAGGUCAACAUCGAUUUUGGUCGUCAUAAAAUGAUCGGAGGAAUGUAGCUUUGAUUUCGAUCGAAGUGUUAUAGCCUUUGGUAAAUGUGACGAUUGGGAUCGAGGAUUGCAACGAAUACCCUUUGGGCUAUCCGUCUGACCUCUGGAAGUCGCUUGGGUGCCAAAAGCUUGCUUAUGGCUAUUCAAGUUGGCGGUCAACAGGUUAGAACGUGAUUACAUUCG
rnacentral:rRNA from 1 species